rnacentral:rRNA from 1 species
GACGAACGCUGGCGGCGUGCUUAACACAUGCAAGUCGAACGGAAAGGCCCUGCUUGCAGGGUGCUCGAGUGGCGAACGGGUGAGUAACACGUGGGUGAUCUGCCCCUUACUUUGGGAUAAGCCUGGGAAACUGGGUCUAAUACUGGAUAGGACCAUGCUGUAGGUGGUGUGGUGGAAAGAUUAGUUUCGGUAAGGGAUGAGCUCGCGGCCUAUCAGCUUGUUGGUGGGGUAAUGGCCUACCAAGGCGUCGACGGGUAGCCGGCCUGAGAGGGUGGACGGCCACAUUGGGACUGAGGUACGGCCCAGACUCCUACGGGAGGCAGCAGUGGGGAAUAUUGCACAAUGGGCGCAAGCCUGAUGCAGCGACGCCGCGUGGGGGAUGACGGCCUUCGGGUUGUAAACUCCUUUCAGCCAUGACGAAGCCCUUGUGGUGACGGUAGUGGUAGAAGAAGCACCGGCUAACUACGUG